GACGAACGCUGGCGGCGUGCUUAACACAUGCAAGUCGAACGGUAAGGCCCUUCGGGGUACACGAGUGGCGAACGGGUGAGUAACACGUGGGUGAUCUGCCCUGCACUUCGGGAUAAGCCUGGGAAACUGGGUCUAAUACCGGAUAGGACUCCUGGCUUCAUGGUUGGGGGUGGAAAGCUUUUGCGGUGUGGGAUGGGCCCGCGGCCUAUCAGCUUGUUGGUGGGGUAAUGGCCUACCAAGGCGACGACGGGUAGCCGGCCUGAGAGGGCGACCGGUCACACUGGGCCUGAGAGAGGGCCCAGACUCCUACGGGAGGCAGCAGUGGGGAAUAUUGCACAAUGGGCGCAAGCCUGAUGCAGCGACGCCGCGUGAGGGAUGACGGCCUUCGGGUUGUAAACCUCUUUCAGCUAUGACGAAGCGCAAGUGACGGUAGUAGCAGAAGAAGGACCGGCCAACUACGUGCCAGCAGCCGCCGUAA
rnacentral:rRNA from 1 species